UGGGGAAUUUUGGACAAUGGGGGAAACCCUGAUCCAGCCAUCCCGCGUGUGCGAUGAAGGCCUUCGGGUUGUAAAGCACUUUUGGCAGGAAAGAAACGUCGCGGGUUAAUACCCCGCGAAACUGACGGUACCUGCAGAAUAAGCACCGGCUAACUACGUGCCAGCAGCCGCGGUAAUACGUAGGGUGCAAGCGUUAAUCGGAAUUACUGGGCGUAAAGCGUGCGCAGGCGGUUCGGAAAGAAAGAUGUGAAAUCCCAGAGCUUAACUUUGGAACUGCAUUUUUAACUACCGGGCUAGAGUGUGUCAGAGGGAGGUGGAAUUCCGCGUGUAGCAGUGAAAUGCGUAGAUAUGCGGAGGAACACCGAUGGCGAAGGCAGCCUCCUGGGAUAACACUGACGCUCAUGCACGAAAGCGUGGGGAGCAAACAGGAUUAGAUACCCUGGUAGUCCACGCCCUAAACGAUGUCAACUAGCUGUUGGGGCCUUCGGGCCUUGGUAGCGCAGCUAACGCGUGAAGUUGACCGCCUGGGGAGUNCGGUCGCAAGAUUAAAACUCAAAGGAAUUGACGGGGGUCAUA
rnacentral:rRNA from 1 species